CCUACGGGGGGCAGCAGUGGGGAAUAUUGCAAAAUGGGCGCAAGCCUGAGGCAGCGACGCCGCGGGGGCGAUGAAGGCCUUGGGGUCGUAAAGCUCUGUCCUAAGGGAAGAAUAAUGACGGUACUUUAGGGGGAAGCCCCGGCUAACUACGGGCCAGCGGCCGGGGUAAUACGUAGGGGGCGAGCGUUAUCCGGAAUCACUGGGCGUAAAGGGGGCGGAGGCGGCCCUGCAAGUCAGGAGUUAAAUCCCUCGGCUCAACCGAGGUCAGCUCUUGAAACUGUAGGGCUUGAGUGCAGGAGAGGAGAGCGGAAUUCCUAGUGUAGCGGUGAAAUGCGUAGAUAUUAGGAGGAACACCAGUGGCGAAGGCGGCUCUCUGGACUGCAACUGACGCUGAGGCACGAAAGCGUGGGGAGCGAACAGGAUUAGAUACCCCUGUAGUC
rnacentral:rRNA from 1 species